GUGGGGAAUCUUGCGCAAUGGGCGAAAGCCUGACGCAGCCAUGCCGCGUGAAUGAUGAAGGUCUUAGGAUUGUAAAAUUCUUUCACCGGGGACGAUAAUGACGGUACCCGGAGAAGAAGCCCCGGCUAACUUCGUGCCAGCAGCCGCGGUAAUACGAAGGGGGCUAGCGUUGCUCGGAAUUACUGGGCGUAAAGGGAGCGUAGGCGGAUCGUUAAGUUGGGGGUGAAAGCCCGGGGCUCAACCUCGGAACUGCCUUCAAUACUGGCGAUCUUGAGUAUGAGAGAGGUGUGUGGAACUCCGAGUGUAGAGGUGAAAUUCGUAGAUAUUCGGAAGAACACCAGUGGCGAAGGCGACUCACUGGCUCAUUACUGACGCUGAGGCUCGAAAGCGUGGGGAGCAAACAGG
rnacentral:rRNA from 1 species